AGCGAACGUUAGCGGCGGGCCUAACACAUGCAAGUCGAACGCGAAAGGUCUUCGGACUGAGUAGAGUGGCACACGGGUGAGUAACACGUAGGUAAUCUACCCUUUGGCGGGGGAUAACGUUCCGAAAGGAGCGCUAAUACCGCAUAAGACCACGGAGUCUCCGGACGCUGUGGGAAAAGGUGGCCUCUUCUUGAAAGCUACCACCGAAGGAUGAGCCUGCGUCCCAUCAGCUAGUUGGUAAGGUAAUGGCUUACCAAGGCGAAGACGUGUAGCUGGUUUGAGAGAAUGAUCAGCCACACUGGCACUGGAACACGGGCCAGACUCCUACGGGAGGCAGCAGUGAGGAAUAUUGGGCAAUGGGCGAAAGCCUGACCCAGCCACGCCGCGUGAGUGAUGAAGGCCCUCGGGUCGUAAAGCUCUGUGGAGAGGGACGAAAACCCUGGUUUCAAAUAGGCUCCAGGCUUGACGGUACCUCUCUAGCAAGCACCGGCUAACUCUGUGCCAG
rnacentral:rRNA from 1 species